rnacentral:rRNA from 1 species
AUUGAACGCUGGCGGCAGGCCUAACACAUGCAAGUCGAGCGGAUGAAGGGAGCUUGCUCCUGGAUUCAGCGGCGGACGGGUGAGUAAUGCCUAGGAAUCUGCCUGGUAGUGGGGGAUAACGUCCGGAAACGGGCGCUAAUACCGCAUACGUCCUGAGGGAGAAAGUGGGGGAUCUUCGGACCUCACGCUAUCAGAUGAGCCUAGGUGGGAUUAGCUAGUUGGUGGGGUAAAGGCCUACCAAGGCGACGAUCCGUAACUGGUCUGAGAGGAUGAUCAGUCACACUGGAACUGAGACACGGUCCAGACUCCUACGGGAGGCAGCAGUGGGGAAUAUUGGACAAUGGGCGAAAGCCUGAUCCAGCCAUGCCGCGUGUGUGAAGAAGGUCUUCGGAUUGUAAAGCACUUUAAGUUGGGAGGAAGGGCAGUAAGUUAAUACCUUGCUGUUUUGACGUUACCAACAGAAUAAGCACCGGCUAACUUCGUG